rnacentral:rRNA from 1 species
CGGUGACCUCGGAGCUUGCUCCGGGUGAUCAGUGGCGAACGGGUGAGUAACACGUGAGUAACCUGCCCCAGACUCUGGGAUAACCCCGAGAAAUCGGAGCUAAUACCGGAUACGAGACGCACGGGCAUCUGUAGCGUCUGGAAAGAAUUUCGGUCUGGGAUGGACUCGCGGCCUAUCAGCUUGUUGGUGAGGUAACGGCUCACCAAGGCGACGACGGGUAGCCGGCCUGAGAGGGCGACCGGCCACACUGGGACUGAGACACGGCCCAGACUCCUACGGGAGGCAGCAGUGGGGAAUAUUGCACAAUGGGCGCAAGCCUGAUGCAGCGACGCCGCGUGGGGGAUGAAGGCCUUCGGGUUGUAAACCCCUUUCAGCAGGGAAGAAGCGAAAGUGACGGUACCUGCAGAAGAAGCGCCGGCUAACUACGUGCCAGCAGCCGCGGUAAUACGUAGGGCGCAAGCGUUGUCCGGAAUUAUUGGGCGUAAAGAGCUCGUAGGCGGUUUGUCGCGUCUGCUGUGAAAACCCGAGGCUCAACCUCGGGCCUGCAGUGGGUACGGGCAGACUAGAGUGCGGUAGGGGAGACUGGAAUUCCUGGUGUAGCGGUGGAAUGCGCAGAUAUCAGGAGGAACACCGAUGGCGAAGGCAGGUCUCUGGGCCGCAACUGACGCUGAGGAGCGAAAGCAUGGGGAGCGAACAGGAUUAGAUACCCUGGUAGUCCAUGCCGUAAACGUUGGGCACUAGGUGUGGGGCUCAUUCCACGAGUUCCGUGC